GACGAACGCUGGCGGCGUGCCUAAUACAUGCAAGUAGAACGCUGAAGCGAGGAGCUUGCUCUUCUUGGAUGAGUUGCGAACGGGUGAGUAACGCGUAGGUAACCUGCCUUGUAGCGGGGGAUAACUAUUGGAAACGAUAGUUAAUACCGCAUAACAAUGGAUGACACAUGUCAUUUAUUUGAAAGGGGCAAUUGCUCCACUACAAGAUGGACCUGCGUUGUAUUAGCUAGUAGGUGAGGUAAUGGCUCACCUAGGCGACGAUACAUAGCCGACCUGAGAGGGUGAUCGGCCACACUGGGACUGAGACACGGCCCAGACUCCUACGGGAGGCAGCAGUAGGGAAUCUUCGGCAAUGGGGGCAACCCUGACCGAGCAACGCCGCGUGAGUGAAGAAGGUUUUCGGAUCGUAAAGCUCUGUCGUAAGUCAAGAACGGGUGUGAGAGUGGAAAGUUCACACUGUGACGGUAGCUUACCAGAAAGGGACGGCUAACUACGUG
rnacentral:rRNA from 1 species